GUCUCUUGUACUGUCUAUAAAGAUUUGAUGAACCGGAAGUAUUUGCAGCGUAUUGCUAGUGUAAUCCACGUGUGUGUGUCGGUCAUUAGCACCGUAUGUCAAAAAAGGGGUUACAAAAAUACAAAUGGAUUUUUGCUACCGUAACCGACGAGAAUGGAGGACUGCAAACCAAAAGCAAACAGAAAGUUUGAAUUGGACAUGAAGGGGUCAGAAACGAAGAACAUACACACAAAAGGAAAAUGACUAUCAGCACUCCUAGAGAAUCCCUGUACCGGCAAAUAAAGAUGAAGAGGACAAUUGGUUCCCUAGAAGAACAAAAGGCUGCUGGCCAGACUUUGGUAGAGUUGACCUUUGCACCCCACCUACCCUGUGAUUGAAAUACAUGACACUGAAGAGAGUGAGCUGGUGUGUGUCUUCACUGUCAGCAGCAAUUGAAAGCAGUGCUAGUCAGUGCAAUACUCAAAACCUGCCUGAGGAUCAGAGAAAAGGAAUGUGGCAUGCCAUUGCUUUGAAAAUGGAGGACAGAGAACCAGAAUUAGCAACAACUGGCUGGAAGCCAGCUGCUGUGUGAGUAACCCAGCCCAGAAAUUACCUACAGCUUAAAAUGUCCAGAAGAACAAAAACACCAAGCCAACUGUUUUGUGAAUUGUUAUUAUUAAUUCAUUCCGUUGCAGACACCCUUAACCAGGGCGACUUACGAUAAUUUUUUUAGUUUUACAUACAAUUACUCAUUUAUACAGCUGAGUUUUUACUGGAGCAGUCUAGGAGGUAAAGUCCCUGCCAGCUUGCUGAAGGGUACAGCAGCAGUGUGUCCCCCACCUGGGAUUGAACCCACACAAAACCCUCCACUCAAGAGUCCAGAGCUCCCCUUACCACUACUCCACACUUUUAGCUUUGGCUAACUAUCAAAAAUGGCUAAGAAAGCAAAAAUCAAGUCACCUAACCUAGAGUUUUUGGCUGACUAUGUUAAGCGGCCAAAAGGAAAACAAAAACCUACAAUCUUAGGCUGACUAUCAGAAAUGGAACUCUAUAAAAAUCUUUUUCACAGAAAAGCAGAAGACACUUGGUUAGGAGACGCUACGAUGACCACUUAUCCUGAAACAGACUUUCAUGUGCCAGAUCAACUCAUGUGCCAGAUCAACUGUUUUAGCUCUACUGUAGAUCUACAUUUCUUACUAUAUCUUUGGGUUCUAUUUUUAGGUCUUUGUUUGUUUUUGAUCCCAGUUGCCUGUUUUUGCAUUGUUAAGUUUUACCCAUGUAUGGGCAUGCCUGCUUAUUCUUGUCUGCAAGGAUUAGAGGUGGUUGCUGUCAUGUGAACUUUUAAUAAACUCAGCCAGCCGGGAAAAGGAAACCAUUCAGGUUUAAAAAAAAAAAAAAACACCCACAGAGGAAACUGAGAAACAACCUUCU